UGCAUUUGCAUGGGAUUUUGACCGGCUGGUUUUGGCUACUGUUGACUUGCUGGUUUGAAUCGUUUUAGAUGCAAUUCCAUUAGGUUUCCAGCGUCACUUAGGUUCCCAUGCCAUCAUGGGCUGGAGAGCUACAUAUUGGAAAAGCCAUUUAGCUAGUUUUGGCUAAUGGGCUGGACUCAAAUAAAUAAAAUACAUGUUUGGGCUUACAAAUAAGCUUUUCUCAGCCAUAAAAGUUGGGCCUUUUAGUGUUUUCUAGCUGGCCAACAUUCUCUUUUAUUAACGUGGGCUGUUAUUAGAAAAACCGUUUGGCCAUAAAAAUUAUUCGAUCAACUUUUUAAGUCAUGUUCAUAUAAAAAAUUUAUUAAGAAAUUAACUAUUGAACGUAUCCUGGUAUUUGUAUCCAAAUUUGGAUCCAUAUCUAAAUAUCCUUUUUUUUAAGUUUUGAGAUGUUCAACCGCUAGGCACCCACACCUGACACUUGUACUCAAGUGUGUGUAACAUAGUAUAUCUGUAUAAUUAGAAAUGCAAUUAAAUUAGAAAUUGUGUUAAUAACUUAAAAUUUAAAUUAUAAAAUUGGGGGUAUUUGAGUUGUUAUGUAGUUUAAUUGGUUAAUAUUGAUUGAAUUAAAAAAUAACGUGUAUUGUAGGAGAGGGAGAGAGAGAAGAUAGCAUGUGGGUGUUAAGGUCAUUUUUCAUGUGAUGUUAACGAAGAUAGGGUUGCAUUUUAGUUCAAAAUCACAUGGGUUUUUUUUUUUUUUAAUUUUUUAAUUUUUUGUUUUUGAAUGACAAGGAGUUCAAGUGCUCCAAAGCCAAACCACAUGAUACCAAACUAGAUUUUGCCUUCACAUUUUUAACUAGUGUUGUGAUACUACAACAAAAUUCUAACUUAACGUAUUUGCAAAUAUUGUAGAAACUUGGAAGGAACCAUCGUAUAGAUUACAUGGAAGUUUUGAAUGUUGGUAGCUAGCAAAUUGCUUUACUAAGAAAAAAACAAACUUUAGACUUGCAAAUAGAUUUAAUCCAAGAGUUUAGAUUGGCUCUUAUCAAGGAAAGUUGCUGAAAUUCAUUCAAAAUUUCAGUAUGUUGCUGAAAGUGGAUGGGCUUGAGUUGAGUGUGGAACAGUCAGUGGUUGAGAAGCUGUGUGGUGGAAGGAGAACCAGAUAUUAUUGUGGCAAAGAAGAUAAAAUUGCUUAGAGAAGAUAUUAAAAGAUGGAAUGAGGAGGAGCUUGGAGACUUCUUGUAACGACCUAUAUUUUAUAUCUGCAGUUAAUUUCUUCAAAUAAAGGGCACUAAAAUCCUCAAUCAUCUAAGAAAUAAUGUCUCCAAAAUUACAAUUCACAAUUGUCUUGAAAUAUUAAAUAAUACACAAAUAGCCCCAAAAAUUCCAUAAUCAAUAAUUCGUCUAAAAAUCUGAACUUGUACCGACUUUCACUCCAAAUCAACAUCCAAAUACCCCGAGGAUGAAUAAGGUAAGCUUGACAGUCCAUUAACUCACCAACAACCACAGGUAGGUGGACCCUAACUCACCUAAUCUGUCACCCUAGGGUGGUGGAUCAUGCUCCAAAAAUGUGAAUCGGUGGAUUGAGUGUCAAUUCAAUUUGCAGAAUUAAAUUUGCUAAUUCAUUUAGGAAGGAAUGAAUCCGGGCUUAUUCCAUAGAAAUUGCCAUGGGUCUAUGCUUUUAAGCCCUUACUUUAAAAGCAUUAAAAGUCUUAUGUUUACAUGGCACAAUAUUGACCAUGUAAAAGACAUGUACCUACUGAUGGCAGUGAGCACAGCUGCUAGUGGCUGGAGCUUUUAUAGACAAAAGCCUUUAAUACUUUUAUAACUCACUCAAUUUGUGAUUGUCUAACUACGCAAUAGUUGAGAGUGGGUUUAAAAAGCCACUGGAUGCCUACAAAAUUUCAAACUUUCUGCAUCCCAUCAAUGUGGGAUUGUACAAACUGAAGAAUUUUGGCAUUAAUCAAUUGGUUGAAUUAUGCAUAUACAUGUUUUGAAGGCGCUUCUGCUCUCAAGGUAUUUUUAGAUAGCCCGCUCUAGCUCCCUCUUCUGCUCCUGCAUCCUGAAUUGGUGUCUUAGCUUGGACAAAGUAUGCAAAAUAAUCAAUAGAGAGAGAGAGAGAGACAUACAUACUUAGGCUAAAGACCGGCCUUGGAUCGAGCACAGAAGGAUCCUGGGAAAUUUUGUGAGAAGCCCCCAGUAGUUUUAGGGUAGCUACUAAGGGUGCAACUUAGGCAGUCUCAACCCGAGUAAACCGAGUCAAGCACAUAUAUUUUGGGACUUGGGCACUAGCUUCAAAUAGUUUUGCUGAAAAUAUGAGGUGGAUGAAUUGCAUGUGUAGGGAUCUCAGAAAUGAUUUGUUUGUUUUGGAAGGGUAUGUAUGUACGUACCAGGCAUGUUCCAUUUUUGUUGUGGUGUAUUUUGUUGUUGAGUUUAUACUCCUUGGUUUCAUAUGAUAAUAUACAUGGGCAGAUCUAUUUAAGUUUCUAGUAAAAUUUCUCACUUUUUUCAUAAUUUUUGUACAAAAAAUCAUAUAGAUUAAUGUGACAGACAUUUUUGCAAUGAAUAUAAAUGAGAUACAUCUUUCUAUA